rnacentral:rRNA from 1 species
UACGGGGGGGAGCAAGCGUUUGUUCGGAUUUACUGGGCGUAAAGGGCGCGUAGGCGGUAGCACAAGUUAGUUGUGAAAUCUCCGGGCUUAACUCGGAAAGGUCAACUGAUACUGUGCGACUAGAGUGCAGAAGGGGCAACUGGAAUUCUCGGUGUAGCGGUGGAAUGCGUAGAGAUCCGGAAGAACACCGGUGGCGAAGGCGGCCUGCUGGGCAGUUGCUGACACUGAGGAGCGAAAGCGUGGGGAGCGAACAGG